CAGUCGCCACGGUAAUACAGAGGGUGCGAGCGUUAAUCGGAUUUACUGGGCGUAAAGCGUGCGUUGGCGGCUUCUUAAGUCGGAUGUGAAAUCCCUGAGCUUAACUUAGGAAUUGCAUUCGAUACUGGGAAGCUAGAGUAUGGGAGAGGAUGGUAGAAUUCCAGGUGUAGCGGUGAAAUGCGUAGAGAUCUGGAGGAAUACCGAUGGCGAAGGCAGCCAUCUGGCCUAAUACUGACACUGAGGUACGAAAGCAUGGGGAGCAAACAGGAUUAGAUACCCCGGUAGUCCCUGUCUCUUAUAC
rnacentral:rRNA from 1 species